rnacentral:rRNA from 1 species
GAUCAUGGCUCAGGAUGAACGCUAGCUACAGGCUUAACACAUGCAAGUCGAGGGGCAGCAUGGUCUUAGCUUGCUAAGGCCGAUGGCGACCGGCGCNCGGGUGAGUAACACGUAUCCAACCUGCCGUCUACUCUUGGACAGCCUUCUGAAAGGAAGAUUAACUACAAGAUGGCAUCAUGAGUCCGCAUGUUCACAUGAUUAAAGGUAUUCCGGUAGACGAUGGGG